rnacentral:rRNA from 1 species
UACGUAGGGUGCGAGCGUUGUCCGGAAUUAUUGGGCGUAAAGGGCUCGUAGGCGGUCUGUCGCGUCGGGAGUGAAAACUCAGGGCUUAACCCUGAGCCUGCUUCCGAUACGGGCAGACUAGAGGUAUGCAGGGGAGAACGGAAUUCCUGGUGUAGCGGUGAAAUGCGCAGAUAUCAGGAGGAACACCGGUGGCGAAGGCGGUUCUCUGGGCAUGUCCUGACGCUGAGGAGCGAAAGUGUGGGGAGCGAACAGG